GGGAGCACGCGACGCUGCGGUUCGUCCAUCGCCUUCGAUCUGCCGACCUUUGUCUUGAAUCGCCUAUUUGGGUUUUUGGUAUGGCGAAGAUAUUGGUAUUGCUCUGUAUCUUGUUUUCGUUUUGUCUACGAUCUCUUUGGGUCUCAUCGAAUCGCAUGCGACGCUUUGGAGAGGGCGAGCAUUUGGUUCGUCCAUCUAUGGCCUUGGGUCUCUCCCUUGGGGUUAUCUGGUCAUGAUUGGUGCUGCUGACCUUGUCUGUUCAUCAACAGAUCUGUAAAGAUUUUUGGAACGGGAGUUCAUCAAUACUAGUGUGUUCUCACAAAGCCUGUCACUGUGGAUGUACUUGCUGAGAAACUUGUGAACGUAGAUUUAAAGAGGUAAUGAGAAAAAGCAACGUUCUCUUUCUUUUUUGGAGUGUUUUUUGGAACAAUGAAUCAUUCCUCUUUGUAUCAAAACUAAACUGGGACAAAUUUUACCACAGUUUCUUUGUAGGAACGCGAGAUCGUAAAAGCAGGUGAAAAGCUAUGUUAAUAACUCAAGUUGGAGCCCGAAAUCCUUUGGACAAACUCAAUGCUCUGCAUGAUGCUCUGUAUGUGCCAGCCAGGUGACGGCUCAACCUAAUGUUAUCAAGGCAUGGUGACCAUGAUAAUCUCAUGUAUGUUAGUCAGCAUAAAUUAUUACAUUGCAUGGCCUCAGAAGAAAGAUCAGAAUCAUUGCAAUAGAUGAAAUACUUCAAUUGCUCUU